ensembl:lncRNA
CCCAUGGAAUUGUGAGGAUUAAAGAGCUGGGUUUGACAGUGAUGAUUCUGAAACUUUAGUGUUCAUCAAGACUUACCAGUGAAGCUUCUUAACAAUAUAGAAAGAAGCCUUGGGCCCUAUCCCAGACCUACUGAGGCCAGAGUCUCUAGAGCUGGAGCCCUGAUAUCUGCUUUUCAAACAAGCUGCCUAGAUAAGUAUGAUGCAUACCAAAGCCGAAUGACUCUUAUUCUCAAGAACUGAGAGAAUCCACUUUCCAUUCCAGGACAAGGACCAAAGAAAUAUUCUUAUUGUCUCUCCACUGUUACUCUAGGCAGAAGGGUCUGUCACUGCUUACGAUGUCAGAGGAUAAUCCAUUUCAGUCACUGCUGACCUGCUUUCCUUGAAGUUCCAGAAGAAAAUUUCCAGGAACUUCAGUCCAGGAAAUCAUUUGGACAGUUCCAGUUGAAGAGCCAAAGCAGAAAAUUAACAUUCCAGCUCCCAGAAACUUUACUUUCACAUUUCUUCUGGGCAUUAAUAAUUUGUAAGUCAAAUAGAAUUUUUCUGGUCCUAGUGAUUUUGCACAAUGGCUCAUAACAUGAUAUUCUGGCUCACAUUCAACAUUAUUUUCCUGACAUUUCUAUAGAAGACUGACCAAACUGUUCCCCAAGCAACCCAACAGAGCCCCCAACCUAAACCUAGCCACUGCCCAGGCCAAUCAGCCAUUAAAAGACAAAAAAUAAGAACAUUAUACAACAAAUCAGAAAUAGCAUGGGAUAUAAACCUGGGCGAAGACUUGAGUGUUUGCAGCCAGACCAUGGCUGUUUUCUCUUUGGUCAAGGAGGGAGCGUGCACAACUCUUCAGAAUCCCUCAAAGCCUACCGAUCAAGACAAUGAUUCUUCUCUGAUCAUUCACUCUUUAUGAAAUGUAUCAGACACUGGUGUUUACUUAUUCACAUGAGCCUGAUUACUCAUCUUAUUACCAUACCUCAUCUUCCCAGUUUUAUGUGAGUAAAUAUGGUGGCUAUGGAGGUGACUUACCUUGCCGUUCAACAGGAUCUACUCUGAAAAGCAUAGCUGAUUGACAACUUUAGCUGUUGUCCCUUCGGAUCCACCAGGCAACAUUUUUCUUGGUAUGCUCCCAGCCAAUGACUUAGCACUGUGGGGGUAUUAGAUCCAGUCCAUUUCUGCCCACCACGGGACUCCUCUAAUGGGCAACUUUUACUCAGGGCUGAGACUUUGCCAGGAUCCUCCUGAAAUUUGAGUCUUUUACUACCCAGUAUUCCUUUCCCACUCUCCUUUCACAGAUGUCAGAUCUUCAUUGUGGUCUGAAGACUCUCUCUGAUUAGUCCUUCUCUCUCUCUUUACCCUUCACAGAUAUUUCCCUUCAAUAAAUCUCUUGCAUAUCUAAUCCCAUCUUGGCUUCUUGAAGGAUUCAAACUGACACAGUGCUUGCUGUGUUAAAGAUUUUUGCAAAUUCUUUGCAACUACUCCCAUCAAAAGGUGGAGACCCAGGGAGCCCAGUCUUCAACCAUCUGUACCGGGAUGCCAAGUAAAAACACCUGAGAACCUGCAGACCUGUUCACCUGCAGCUGAGUACCAUUAAGUUAUCU